rnacentral:rRNA from 1 species
AAAGCUUGGCGAUACAGGGUGAUAGCCCCGUAACCGACGCUUCAUCGAGCGUGAAAUCGAGUAGGGCGGGACACGUGAUAUCCUGUCUGAAUAUGGGGGGACCAUCCUCCAAGGCUAAAUACUCCUGACUGACCGAUAGUGAACCAGUACCGUGAGGGAAAGGCGAAAAGAACCCCUGUGAGGGGAGUGAAAUAGAACCUGAAACCGUGUACGUACAAGCAGUAGGAGCACCUUCGUGGUGUGACUGCGUACCUUUUGUAUAAUGGGUCAGCGACUUAUAUUCAGUGGCAAGGUUAACCGUAUAGGGGAGCCGUAGCGAAAGCGAGUCUUAACUGGGCGCUCAGUCUCUGGAUAUAGACCCGAAACCGGGUGAUCUAGCCAUGGGCAGGUUGAAGGUUGAGUAACAUCAACUGGAGGACCGAACCGACUAAUGUUGAAAAAUUAGCGGAUGACUUGUGGCUAGGGGUGAAAGGCCAAUCAAACUCGGAGAUAGCUGGUUCUCCCCGAAAGCUAUUUAGGUAGCGCCUCGGACGAAUACUACUGGGGGUAGAGCACUGUUAAGGCUAGGGGGUCAUCCCGACUUACCAACCCUUUGCAAACUCCGAAUACCAGUAAGUACUAUCCGGGAGACACACGGCGGGUGCUAACGUCCGUCGUGGAGAGGGAAACAACCCAGACCGCCAGCUAAGGUCCCAAAGUAUUGCUAAGUGGGAAACGAUGUGGGAAGGCUCAGACAGCUAGGAUGUUGGCUUAGAAGCAGCCAUCAUUUAAAGAAAGCGUAAUAGCUCACUAGUCGAGUCGGCCUGCGCGGAAGAUGUAACGGGGCUAAGCAAUACACCGAAGCUGCGGCAAUAUCUUUUAGAUAUUGGGUAGGGGAGCGUUCUGUAAGCCGUUGAAGGUGAAUCGUAAGGUUUGCUGGAGGUAUCAGAAGUGCGAAUGCUGACAUGAGUAACGACAAAGGGGGUGAAAAACCUCCUCGCCGGAAGACCAAGGGUUCCUGUCCAACGUUAAUCGGGGCAGGGUGAGUCGACCCCUAAGGUGAGGCCGAAAGGCGUAAUCGAUGGGAAACGGGUUAAUAUUCCCGUACUUCUGACUAUUGCGAUGGGGGGACGGAGAAGGCUAGGUGGGCCAGGCGACGGUUGUCCUGGUUCAAGUGCGUAGGCUUGAGAGUUAGGUAAAUCCGGCUCUCUCUAAGGCUGAGACACGACGUCGAGCUACUACGGUAGUGAAGUCAUUGAUGCCAUGCUUCCAGGAAAAGCCUCUAAGCUUCAGAUAGUCAGGAAUCGUACCCCAAACCGACACAGGUGGUCGGGUAGAGAAUACCAAGGCGCUUGAGAGAACUCGGGUGAAGGAACUAGGCAAAAUGGUACCGUAACUUCGGGAGAAGGUACGCUCUUGAUGGUGAAGUCCCUCGCGGAUGGAGCUGACGAGAGUCGCAGAUACCAGGUGGCUGCAACUGUUUAUUAAAAACACAGCACUGUGCAAAAUCGCAAGAUGACGUAUACGGUGUGACGCCUGCCCGGUGCCGGAAGGUUAAUUGAUGGGGUUAGCGCAAGCGAAGCUCUUGAUCGAAGCCCCGGUAAACGGCGGCCGUAACUAUAACGGUCCUAAGGUAGCGAAAUUCCUUGUCGGGUAAGUUCCGACCUGCACGAAUGGCGUAAUGAUGGCCACGCUGUCUCCACCCGAGACUCAGUGAAAUUGAAAUCGCUGUGAAGAUGCAGUGUACCCGCGGCUAGACGGAAAGACCCCGUGAACCUUUACUACAGCUUGGCACUGAACAUUGAACCUACAUGUGUAGGAUAGGUGGGAGGCUAUGAAGACGUGACGCCAGUUGCGUUGGAGCCGUCCUUGAAAUACCACCCUUGUAUGUUUGAUGUUCUAACUUAGACCCGUUAUCCGGGUUGAGGACAGUGCCUGGUGGGUAGUUUGACUGGGGCGGUCUCCUCCCAAAGAGUAACGGAGGAGCACGAAGGUGGGCUAAUCACGGUUGGACAUCGUGAGGUUAGUGCAAUGGCAUAAGCCCGCUUAACUGCGAGAAUGACGGUUCGAGCAGGUGCGAAAGCAGGUCAUAGUGAUCCGGUGGUUCUGUAUGGAAGGGCCAUCGCUCAACGGAUAAAAGGUACUCCGGGGAUAACAGGCUGAUACCGCCCAAGAGUUCAUAUCGACGGCGGUGUUUGGCACCUCGAUGUCGGCUCAUCACAUCCUGGGGCUGAAGUCGGUCCCAAGGGUAUGGCUGUUCGCCAUUUAAAGUGGUACGCGAGCUGGGUUUAGAACGUCGUGAGACAGUUCGGUCCCUAUCUGCCGUGGGCGUUGGAAGAUUGAAGGGGGCUGCUCCUAGUACGAGAGGACCGGAGUGGACGAACCUCUGGUGUUCGGGUUGUGUCGCCAGACGCAUUGCCCGGUAGCUAAGUUCGGAAUUGAUAAGCGCUGAAAGCAUCUAAGCGCGAAGCGAGCCCUGAGAUGAGUCUUCCCUGAUACUUUAAGUAUCCUAAAGGGUUGUUCGAGACUAGAACGUUGAUAGGCAGGGUGUGUAAGCGUUGUGAGGCGUUGAGCUAACCUGUACUAAUUGCCCGUGAGGCUUAACCAUACAACACCCAAGGGGUUUUGUA